GCUGAUAUGGCCGAGUCGUUAAGGCGAGUGAUUUGAAUUCAUAUCAUCACUUGGGCAUUGCCCGCGUAGGUUCAAAUCCUGCUGUCAGCG